rnacentral:rRNA from 1 species
AGCGAACGCUGGCGGCAGGCUUAACACAUGCAAGUCGAGGGGAGCGGCAGACGGGUGAUUAACGCGUGGGAACGUACCUUUUGGUUCGGAACAACACAGGGAAACUUGUGCUAAUACCGGAUACCGAAAGAUCGGCCCGCGUCUGAUUAGAUAGUUGGUGAGGUAAUGGCUCACCAAGGCGACGAUCAGUAGCUGGUCUGAGAGGAUGAUCAGACACAUUGGGACUGAGAAACGGCCCAAAAUCCUACGGGAGGCAGGAGUGGGGAAUCGUGGACACUGGGGGCAGCCCUGAUGCAGCCAUGCCGGGUGAGUUAUGAAGGCCGUAGGGUUGAAAAGCUCUUUUAUCCGAAAAGCGGUACCGCAAGAAUAAGCCCCGGCUAACUUCGUGCCAGCCGCCGCGGUAAUAC